rnacentral:rRNA from 1 species
UACGGAGGAUGCGAGCGUUAUCCGGAUUUAUUGGGUUUAAAGGGUGCGUAGGCGGACUGUCAAGUCAGCGGUAAAAUUGAGAGGCUCAACCUCUUCCCGCCGUCGAAACUGGUGGUCUUGAGUGGAUGAGAAGUACGCGGAAUGCGUGGUGUAGCGGUGAAAUGCAUAGAUAUCACGCAGAACUCCGAUUGCGAAGGCAGCGUACCGGCAUCCAACUGACGCUGAGGCACGAAAGCGUGGGGAUCAAACAGG